rnacentral:lncRNA from 1 species
UCAUACACAAGUUGGGAAAUACAUUGCAUAUCCUUCAUGUAUUAUAUUGGCAAAUGAUGAUGUAUUUCAACUCAUACCUUUCUCGGCAUUUUGACUAAGAUCUUUUGGAUUGCACUACUUCAAACCCUGGCACAUCCCACUAAAUUUAGUUCAAAGCUUCUCGUGAGGGAGGCAAUGACUUACAGUGUCUGAAUAAAGGGGGUGUGGAGGUCCUAUAAUGCUCCAUAAGG